rnacentral:rRNA from 1 species
AUUGAACGCUGGCGGCAGGCCUAACACAUGCAAGUCGAGCGGCAGCACUUCGGGUGGCGAGCGGCGAACGGGUGAGUAAUACAUGGGAAUCUGCCCAGUAGUGGGGGAUAACUCUGGGAAACUAGAGGUAAUACCGCAUACGUCCUACGGGAGAAAGCAGGGGAUCGCAAGACCUUGCGCUAUUGGAGGAGCCCAUGUCCGAUUAGCUAGUUGGUGAGGUAAAGGCUCACCAAGGCGACGAUCGGUAACUGUCUGAGAGGAUGGUCAGUCACACUGGAACUGAGACACGGUCCAGACUCCUACGGGAGGCAGCAGUGGGGAAUAUUGGACAAUGGGGGCAACCCUGAUCCAGCCAUGCCGCGUGUGUGAAGAAGGCCUUCGGGUUGUAAAGCACUUUAAGCAGGGAGGAAGGCUCGCAACCUAAUACGUUGCGGGAGUGACGUUACCUGCAGAAUAAGCACCGGCAAACUCCGUGCCAGCAGCCGCCGUAAAAC